UCCGUAGGUGAACCUGCGGAAGGAUCAUUACUGAGUAAACGGGUCUUUUAGGCCCCUACUCCCACCCUUUGUGUACCUUACCAUAUCUUCUGUUGCCUUGGCGGGUUGGACCGCCUAAGGACCUCGCGUUCUUAGGCACCUUUCCGCCAGGGGAACACCUUUAAAACUCGUAUGAAUUGAGUCGUCUGAGAAUUUAUGCAAAUAAAUUAAAACUUUCAACAACGGAUCUCUUGGUUCUGGCAUCGAUGAAGAACGCAGCGAAAUGCGAUAAGUAAUGUGAAUUGCAGAAUUCAGUGAAUCAUCGAAUCUUUGAACGCACAUUGCGCCCUUUGGUAUUCCGAAGGGCAUGCCUGUUCGAGCGUCAUUACAACCCUCAAGCUUCUGCUUGGUAUUGGGCUCUCGUCCGUCCAUGGACGUGCCUGAAACUCAUUGGCAGUGGUGCCCAGCCCCCAGCGUAGUCAUAUUAACCGCUCUGGAUGUUUUGGACACGACCCGCCAGAAAACCCUCCACCGUCAAAAAGUGGAGAUCUUCUCAAGGUUUGACCUCGGAUCAGGUAGGGAUACCCGCUGAACUUAAGCAUAUCAAUAAGCGGAGGA
rnacentral:rRNA from 1 species